GACGAACGCUGGCGGCGUGCUUAACACAUGCAAGUCGAACGGAAAGGCCCUGCUUGCCGGGUACUCGAGUGGCGAACGGGUGAGUAACACGUGGGUGAUCUGCCCUGCACUUCGGGAUAAGCCUGGGAAACUGGGUCUAAUACCGGAUAGGAGCCAUUUUUAGUGUGAUGGUUGGAAAGUUUUUUCGGUGUAGGAUGAGCUCGCGGCCUAUCAGCUUGUUGGUGGGGUAAUGGCCUUCCAAGGCGGCGACGGGUAGCCGGCCUGAGAGGGUGGACGGCCACAUUGGGACUGAGAUACGGCCCAGACUCCUACGGGAGGCAGCAGUGGGGAAUAUUGCACAAUGGGCGCAAGCCUGAUGCAGCGACGCCGCGUGGGGGAUGACGGCCUUCGGGUUGUAAACUCCUUUCGCUAGGGACGAAGCUUUUUGUGACGGUACCUAGAUAAGAAGCACCGGCUAACUACGUG
rnacentral:rRNA from 1 species